CACGUAGGGGCGAGCGUUGUCCGGAAUUAUUGGGCGUAAAGGGCGCGCAGGCUGUUAUGCGAGUCUGCUGUGAAAUGUACCGGCUCAACCGGUGCCUUGCGGCGGAUACUGCAUAGCUGGAGUACUGGAGAGGGAAGUGGAAUUCCCGGCGUAGCGGUGAAAUGCGUAGAUAUCGGGAGGAACACCGGUGGCGAAGGCGGCUUUCUGGCCAGUUACUGACGCUCAUGCGCGAAAGCUGGGGUAGCGAACCGGAUUAGAUACCCCGGUAGU
rnacentral:rRNA from 1 species